rnacentral:lncRNA from 1 species
ACUGUGAAGUCACAAGAGGCCCUGAGCUCUGUGGGCCCCAGGUGCCCCGGGAAAACUUGGGGGAGAAUGGGCAUCCCACCCCAGCACUUUCUAGGAAGAAGGGCAGCAUUUUGAAGGGCUGGAAGUAGAGGAAGGAGGUUGCGGGUAGAAGACUCCAUACUUUCUGUGACGCCUAUUCCUUAGCUUGUGAUGAAUGUUUUCUCAGUAUCCUAUGCUGAAAACAGGUAGAUACUAAUAUCGAUCUUCAAGGGAGGGCUGUUGAGUAUUGAAUAAGACAAAAACAUGGAAGCAAUCAGCACCAUGCUGGAGAGCCUUUAUAUAACCAAAGAUAUUUUUGGACCAUGAAUUCAGAAAUUCUCGGAGCCACCCAUCAGUGCCUGAGCUUCAGUGAGUCCAUAUCCCAUGUCACCCACGGCAAAGGAGACUCUAAGACUUCUGAAGAGUUUCUUGCUUCUUUCCUGUGGGGCAGUGACUCCACUUCCCAGCAGUAAUGGAAUAUCCUGAAUUAGCUACAUUAAUGUUAGAACCAUUUGGACCUCACCCAGGACUUCAACUACAUUAUGAGUAACUCCUGGACGAUUGGCACAGAAGAAGGCACAAGGCAAAUACCCAUCUCUGUACACCCUGUGCUACUGUGUCAUGUGCUGCUCCAGGCAACUCCAAUGGAUUGGCCACCCUGGCCAAUGUGUUCUAGUAUGUUACGUUUAUGUUCCCCUGCUUUCUACAAUCCUGUUCAAAGAGUUGCUGACUUAACCACAGAGAGGAUUCCAGAACCUGAGACACAGAAUAAACUUGAGCAAUCAUAGUCCAUCCACUUCAUUGUCUCAUCAAAAACCAAAGGUCCAGUGAAGCUCUGGAACUCAACGCUGUAAAGGAGCGAAGGAGCUUCUAUACAGA